CUAGUGGAACGGUCUGGAAAGUCCGGCCAUAGCGGGUGAUAGCCCCGUACACGAAAGAUCCGGAGUGGAACUGAGCGCACGAUAAGUAGGGCGGGACACGUGAAAUCCUGUCUGAAGAUGGGGGGACCAUCCUCCAAGGCUAAAUACUCAUGAUCGACCGAUAGUGAACCAGUACUGUGAAGGAAAGGCGAAAAGAACCCCGGGAGGGGAGUGAAAUAGAUCCUGAAACCGCAUGCAUACAAACAGUAGGAGCCCGCAAGGGUGACUGCGUACCUUUUGCAUAAUGGGUCAGCGACUUACAUUCUGUGGCGAGCUUAACCGGAUAGGGAAGGCGUAGCGAAAGCGAGUCCGAAUAGGGCGUCCAGUCGCAGGGUGUAGACCCGAAACCAGAUGAUCUAUCCAUGGCCAGGCUGAAGGUGGGGUAACACUCACUGGAGGGCCGAACCGACUACUGUUGCAAAAGUAGCGGAUGAGCUGUGGAUAGGGGUGAAAGGCCAAACAAAUCUGGAAAUAGCUGGUUCUCCCCGAAAACUAUUGAGGUAGUGCCUCGCGUAUCACUCCAGGGGGUAGAGCACUGUUAUGGCUAGGGGGGCAUGGCGCCUUACCAAACCAUGGCAAACUCCGAAUACUUGGAAGUGUCAGCGCGGGAGACAGUGCACCGGGUGCUAACGUCCGGACACGAAAGGGAAACAACCCAGACCGCCAGCUAAGGUCCCUAAUACCGACUAAGUGGGAAACGAAGUGGGAAGGCUAAGACAGUCAGGAAGUUGGCUUAGAAGCAGCCAUCCUUCAAAGAAAGCGUAAUAGCUCACUGAUCGAGUCUUCCUGCGCGGAAGAUGUAACGGGGCUAAGCCGGUAACCGAAGCUGCGGAUGUGCCGCAAGGCACGUGGUAGGGGAGCGUUCUGUAAGCCUGCGAAGGUGGCUCGAGAGGGCUGCUGGAGGUAUCAGAAGUGCGAAUGCUGACAUGAGUAGCGUUAAAGAGGGUGAAAAGCCCUCUCGCCGUAAGCCCAAGGUUUCCUGCUCUACGUUCAUCGGAGCAGGGUGAGUCGGCCCCUAAGAUGAGGGCGAAAGCCGUAGUCGAUGGGAAGCAGGUCAAUAUUCCUGCACCGAUUUCCAAUGCGAUGGGGGGACGGACUGUUGAAGAUCAUCCGGGUGUUGGAUGUCCCGGUUUCUGAUCGUAGGUGGCCAGUAGGCAAAUCCGCUGGCGUAUCACCGAGGAAAAGGAUCGAGUGGCGUAAGCCGCGAAGUGAUUGGAUGUGGUUCCAGGAAAAGCCUCUAAGCUUCAGUUGGAAACGACCGUACCGAAAACCGACACUGGUGGGCGAGCUGAAUAUGCUCAGGCGCUUGAGAGAACUCGGGAGAAGGAACUCGGCAAAUUGACACCGUAACUUCGGAAGAAGGUGUGCCUUGGUAGCGUGACGGGAGAAACGCCCGAAGCGUGAAGAGGUCUCAGAGAAUCGGUGGCUGCGACUGUUUAUUAAAAACACAGCACUCUGCAAAGACGAGAGUCGACGUAUAGGGUGUGAUGCCUGCCCGGUGCUGGAAGGUUAAUUGAUGGAGUGCAAGCUCUUGAUCGAAGCCCCAGUAAACGGCGGCCGUAACUAUAACGGUCCUAAGGUAGCGAAAUUCCUUGUCGGGUAAGUUCCGACCUGCACGA
rnacentral:rRNA from 1 species